CGCAGCCACGGUGCCGCGACCAGAACCUGACCACGGUGUCACAGCGGGGCUGGGGAGCGGCCUGUGGAGGGCAGCCAAAGCCCAGACUCAUGUCUGUGGGUGAGUGAGGCAGGUGGGCACCCCACAGGGAGGGGAGACACCGAGUCAUGGGGACAAGGAGGAGUGGGAACCAAACCGGGAGCUUCCGUCUCUGCUUGGGGACAUGGUGGUGGCUGGCAACAACCCGCAACUGCAUUUGAGGCCUGGCCAGGCUAACCUAGGGCUGAGGGUACCCCAAAAGGGGUAUCACUUGCACCCCAAAGUGUUUUACGCCUUUCUGCAGGGGGAAGGGAAAACAUCUGCUCCAUCUGGAGUGGAUUGGAAAACACUCAUGUCCCAGCACCAGCUUGUUUCAGGAUGCAACGGGAAGAUGGCUUGAUCUCUUCUGGGCAGCCACACCACUUUCUGAGCUUCCAAGGAGUCAAGAGAGCACCAGCUGGUCUUCCUCUGUAUCUGGCAAAGGCAACAGAGUUGGAGAACCUUCCUUCAGUUGUCUUUGGAAGGAAAGGUCUGCUUCAAAGCGAGCGAGGUCUGUGUCCAGCCGCCGGAUGUGCUUAUCCACCUGCAAAGACAACAGUGACCAGGAGUCACCACAGGACACAGCCCAGGAGGACAAAGAGGAGGGGGCUUGCACUAAAGAGCCAAGAAGCAAAGAGCGGGCAGGGCCUAAAAAUGAGAGAUCAAGGCCUUUCAAGACUGGGGGCUUUAGUUUGGACGGACUUUCACCCGAUAAGCACCAGACACUUCCCUUCAUACCAUCUCGUAGGUCUGCAUAGCCAGCUGAACCUUGUCGUCCCCAAACUCCUUGCACUUCCCAUAGGCCUCC